UACGUAGGUGGCGAGCGUUUAUCCGGAUUUACUGGGCGUAAAGGGUGUGCAGGCGGGGGGUCAAGUGGUGUAUGAAAGGGCGUGGCUCAACCACGCUAGGUUAUGCCAGACUGGCUCUCUUGAGGACGAAACAGGGCUGUGGAAUUCCGGGUGUAGUGGUGAAAUGGCGCAGAUAUCAGGAGGAACACCGGUGGCGAAGGCGGGUCUCUGGGCCGAUACUGACGCUGAGGAGCGAAAGCGUGGGGAGCGAACAGG
rnacentral:rRNA from 1 species